rnacentral:rRNA from 1 species
UACAGAGGGUGCAAGCGUUGUUCGGAAUUAUUGGGCGUAAAGCGCGCGCAGGCGGGCCUUUAAGUCUGAUGUGAAAGCCCACGGCUCAACCGUGGAGGGUCAUUGGAAACUGGGGGACUUGAGUGCAGAAGAGGAAAGCGGAAUUCCACGUGUAGCGGUGAAAUGCGUAGAGAUCAGGAAGAACACCCGUGGCGAAGGCGGCCCACUGGGCCGGACCUGACGCUGAGGCGCGAAGGCGUGGGGAGCGAACGGG